rnacentral:rRNA from 1 species
AUUGAACGCUGGCGGCAGGCCUAACACAUGCAAGUCGAGCGGAGCGGCGGCCGCGUGCGUAAUGCCUAGGUAUCUGCCUGGUAGUGGGGGAUAACGUCCGGAAACGGGCGCUAAUACCGCAUACUAUCAGAUGAGCCUGUGCCGGAUUCGCGAGUUGGUGGGGUAGAGGCCUACCAAGGCGACGCUCCGUAACUGGUCUGAGAGGAUGAUCAGUCACACUGGAACUGAGACACGGUCCAGACUCCUACGGGAGGCAGCAGUGGGGAAUAUUGGACAAUGGGCGAAAGCCUGAUCCAGCCAUGCCGCGUGUGUGAAGAAGGUCUUCGGAUUGUAAAGCACUUUAAGCUGGGAGGCGUUACCAACAGAAUAAGCACCGGCUAACUUCGUGCCAGCAGCCGCGGUAAUAC